rnacentral:rRNA from 1 species
ACACAUGCAAGUCGAACGAAGCACUUUAAUCUGAUUCUUCGGAUGAAGGUUUUUGUGACUGAGUGGCGGACGGGUGAGUAACGCGUGGGUAACCUGCCUCAUACAGGGGGAUAACAGUUAGAAAUGACUGCUAAUACCGCAUAAGACCACGGAGCCGCAUGGCUCGGUGGGAAAAACUCCGGUGGUAUGAGAUGGACCCGCGUCUGAUUAGGUAGUUGGUGGGGUAACGGCCUACCAAGCCAACGAUCAGUAGCCGACCUGAGAGGGUGACCGGCCACAUUGGGACUGAGACACGGCCCAAACUCCUACGGGAGGCAGCAGUGGGGAAUAUUGCACAAUGGGGGAAACCCUGAUGCAGCGACGCCGCGUGAGCGAAGAAGUAUUUCGGUAUGUAAAGCUCUAUCAGCAGGGAAGAAAAUGACGGUACCUGACUAAGAAGCACCGGCUAAAUACGUGCCAGCAGCCGCGGUAAUACGUAUGGUGCAAGCGUUAUCCGGAUUUACUGGGUGUAAAGGGAGCGUAGACGGCUGUGUAAGUCUGAAGUGAAAGCCCGGGGCUCAACCCCGGGACUGCUUUGGAAACUAUGCAGCUAGAGUGUCGGAGAGGUAAGUGGAAUUCCCAGUGUAGCGGUGAAAUGCGUAGAUAUUGGGAGGAACACCAGUGGCGAAGGCGGCUUACUGG